UGCNAGUCGNNCGAAGUAGCAAUACUUAGUGGCAGACGGGUGAGUAACAUGUAGGUAUCUUCCCUUUGGUGAGGAAUAACACGAGGAAACUUGUGCUAAUACCUCAUAAGUCUUUACGGAGAAAGCUUUAUGCGCCGAAGGAUGAGCCUGCACUUGAUUAGUUUGUUGGUGGGGUAAUGGCCUACCAAGACUUUGAUCUAUAGCUGAUCUGAGAGGAUGAUCAGCCACAUUGGGACUGAGACACGGCCCAAACUCCUACGGGAGGCAGCAGUAGGGAAUAUUGCACAAUGGAGGAAACUCUGAUGCAGCGAUGCCACGUGAGUGAAGAAGGCCUUUGGGUUGUAAAGCUCUUUCGUCGGGGAAGAAAAUGACUGUACCCGAAUAAGAAGGUCCGGCUAACUUCGUGCCAGCAGCCGCGGUAAUACGAAGGGACCUAGCGUAGUUCGGAAUUACUGGGCUUAAAGAGUUCGUAGGUGGUUAAAAAAGUUGGUGGUGAAAUCCCAGAGCUUGACUCUGGAACUGCCAUCAAAACUUUUUAGCUAGAGUAUGAUAGAGGAAAGCAGAAUUUCUAGUGUAGAGGUGAAAUUCGUAGAUAUUAGAAAGAAUACCAAUUGCGAANGCAGCUUUCUGGAUCAUUACUGACGCUGANGAACGAAAGCAUGGGUAGCGAAGAGGAUUAGAUACCCUCGUAGUCCAUGCCGUAAACGAUGUGUGUUAGACGUUGGAAAUUUAUUUUCAGUGUCGCAGCGAAAGCAUUAAACACACCGCCNGGGGAGUACGACCGCANGGNUAAAACUCAAAUGAA
rnacentral:rRNA from 1 species